ensembl:lncRNA novel transcript
CUCUAGCUGCCCUGGGCACCCUGGAGUUCACACUUCUUUUUGAAGCGGACAACAGUGCCCUGCAUUGCACGGCUCAUCGUGCCAAGGGCCUCAAGCCAUUGGCCUCAGGCUCCGCGGAUGCCUAUGUCAAAGCCAAUCUGCUGCCAGGGGCCAGCAAGGCCAGCCAGCUUCGGACACACACCGUUCGGGGCACGAGGGUACCUGUCUGGGAGGAGACACUCACCUAUCACGGCUUCACCCGCCAGGAUGCUGAGUGCAAGACCCUUAGGCUGUGUGUGUGCGAGGACCCAUGGUACAGCGACAGUGGCAGGCACCUUCCCUGGGGGAGCUGCGGGUGCCCCUGAGGAAGCUGGUGCCAAACCGAGCCAGGAGCUUUGACAUCUGUCUGGAGAAGCGGAGGCUGGCCAAGAGGCCCAAGAGCCUGGACACAGCCUGUGGCAUGUCCCUCUAUGAGGAGGAGGUGGAGACAGAGGUGGCCUGGGAGGAAUGUGGGCACGUCCUACUGUCACUGUGCUACAGCUCUCAGCAGGGUGGCUUGCUGGUAGGUGUGCUGCGCUGCGCCCACCUGGCCCCCAUGGAUGCCAAUGGUUACUCGGACCCCUUCGUGCGCCUGAAUUCUUUUACUCAGGCCCACGGGAGGAGCUGGCCCAGAAGACGCUGCUGGUGUCUGUGUGGGACUAUGACCUAGGCACGGCUGAUGACUUCAUUGGCGGGGUGCAGCUGGGCAGCCAUGCCAGUGGGGAGCGCCUGCGGCACUGGCUUGAGUGCCUGGGCCACAGUGACCACCGCCUGAAGCUGUGGCACCCGCUGGACAGCAAGCCUGUCCAGCUCAGCGACUAGCCCAUGGGCCCUGCCUGCCGCCCCUCCACUACAGCUGCCUGAAACGUCCCCACAAAAAUGAUGGCGGCUGGGGCUGCCUUACCCUCAUGCCCAGCCCCAAGUCAGAGAGGUGUUUCCUCUCUCCCCGCUUUCACAUUCACCCCACCCCAAAUCAUGGAGCCGAAAUAAACAUCUCCUUCAAGCCA